rnacentral:rRNA from 1 species
UACGUAGGGUGCGAGCGUUAAUCGGAAUUACUGGGCGUAAAGCGUGCGCAGGCGGUUUUGUAAGCCAGAUGUGAAAUCCCCGGGCUUAACCUGGGAAUGGCAUUUGGGACUGCAAGGCUGGAGUUUGGCAGAGGAGACUGGAAUUCCUGGUGUAGCAGUGAAAUGCGUAGAUAUCUGGAGGAAUACCGGUGGCGAAGGCGGCAUCCUGGACCGGCAUUGACGCUGAGGAGCGAAAGCCAGGGGAGCAAACGGG